rnacentral:rRNA from 1 species
GAUGAACGCUGGCGGCGUGCCUAAUACAUGCAAGUCGAGCGAACAGACGAGGAGCUUGCUCCUCUGACGUUAGCGGCGGACGGGUGAGUAACACGUGGAUAACCUACCUAUAAGACUGGGAUAACUUCGGGAAACCGGAGCUAAUACCGGAUAAUAUAUUGAACCGCAUGGUUCAAUAGUUAAAGACGGUUUUGCUGUCACUUAUAGAUGGAUCCGCGCCGCAUUAGCUAGUUGGUAAGGUAACGGCUUACCAAGGCAACGAUGCGUAGCCGACCUGAGAGGGUGAUCGGCCACACUGGAACUGAGACACGGUCCAGACUCCUAGGGGAGGCAGCAGUAGGGAAUCUUCCGCAAUGGGCGAAAGCCUGACGGAGCAACGCCGCGUGAGUGAUGAAGGUCUUCGGAUCGUAAAACUCUGUUAUUAGGGAAGAACAAAUGUGUAAGUAACUAUGCACGUCUUGACGGUACCUAAUCAGAAAGCCACGGCUAACUACGUG